GCCGGGUGUGGUGGCGAGUGCCUGUAGUCCUAGCUACUCGGGAGGCUGAGGUAGGAGGAUUGCUUGAGUCCAGGAGUUCUGGGCUAUAGUGCGCUAUGCCAAUCGGGUGUCUGCACUAAGUUCAUUAUCAAUAUGGUGACCUCCCGGGAGCAAGGGACCACCAGGUUGCCUAAGGAGGGGCGAACCAGCCCAGGUCGGAAAGAGAGCCAGUCAGAACUCCGGUGUUGAUCAUUAGUGGGAUCAUGCCUGUGAAUAGCCACUGCACUCCAGCCUGGGCAACAGCCUUGCUAA
rnacentral:SRP_RNA from 1 species